rnacentral:rRNA from 1 species
GGGGAAUAUUGCGCAAUGGGCGAAAGCCUGACGCAGCGACGCCGCGUGGGGGAUGACGGCCUUCGGGUUGUAAACCUCUUUCGACCGGGACGAAGCGUGAGUGACGGUACCGGUAGAAGAAGCACCGGCCAACUACGUGCCAGCAGCCGCGGUAAUACGUAGGGUGCGAGCGUUGUCCGGAAUUAUUGGGCGUAAAGAGCUCGUAGGCGGUGUGUCGCGUCGGUCGUGAAAACUUGGGGCUUAACCCUGAGCGUGCGGUCGAUACGGGCAUCACUUGAGUUCGGCAGGGGAGACUGGAAUUCCUGGUGUAGCGGUGAAAUGCGCAGAUAUCAGGAGGAACACCGGUGGCGAAGGCGGGUCUCUGGGCCGAUACUGACGCUGAGGAGCGAAAGCGUGGGGAGCGAAC